rnacentral:lncRNA from 1 species
CUUUGGAAAUUAAAAUCUUUAUCAACUCUUGCUGGCAUAUUGCUUAUUAGAGGGACCAUGGGAUAUCAUUUUUUCUCUUUUCUCUUCUCUCUUUUUUUAAGUGGAUACCGAGGUACCCCUAAUUCUACUGCCGGACACUUGUCCAUUUUUUCUGCGAGGUUGUCGAGCACUUGCUCCUUUUUAUUUCCUCGAAAUAUUUCUAUUUUUGCAUAGCCCAUGCCUCUAAUGCAAUAAUACUUCGGAAGAGUGAAUCUUUCUGAAAUAAUGUCUUGAUCUUAGGAGCAUGAUAAAUCUCUCAACAAGGGUCUAACUCAUUUUGAACAAACUCAAUACAGAGUAGAUAGCUUUUAUAAUCAUAAUUAAUAUUUUCAGUCUUAUCAGGCAUAAAACACUGAGGAUGGUAGCUAUGAUUUUGAAUAUUUUGAAAUAAAUUCUCCAAGCAACAAUGAUAUCAAGAAUAAGAAACUCAUACUCUACCAUCACAUAUUCCAUA